rnacentral:rRNA from 1 species
ACAAUGGGCGCAAGCCUGAUCCAGCCAUACCGCGUGGGUGAUGACAGGCCUUCGGGUUGUAAAGCCCUUUUGUUGGGAAAGAAAAGCAGUCUGCUAAUACCCGGUUGUUCUGACGGUACCCAAAGAGAAGCACCGGCUAACUUCGUGCCAGCAGCCGCGGUAAUA